GCCUGGGUGGCUCAGUCAGUUGAGCAUCUGACUUCGGCUCAGGUCAUGAUCUCACAGUCUGUGGAUUCAAGCCCCACGUCGGGCU
rfam:Felis catus isolate Cinnamon breed Abyssinian chromosome F1, whole genome shotgun sequence.